rnacentral:rRNA from 1 species
CGCGUAGGCGGUUUUUUAAGUCUGAUGUGAAAGCCCACGGCUCAACCGUGGAGGGUCAUUGGAAACUGGAAAACUUGAGUGCAGAAGAGGAAAGUGGAAUUCCAUGUGUAGCGGUGAAAUGCGCAGAGAUAUGGAGGAACACCAGUGGCGAAGGCGACUUUCUGGUCUGUAACUGACGCUGAGGUGCGAAAGCGUGGGGAGCAAACA